GGAAUGCCAUGGUAUUCCCCCGGAGGAGCUGGAGGAGGUGGCUGGGGAGAGGGAGGUCUGGGCAUCCCUGCUUAGCGUUCUGUCCCUGAGAAUGAGCCCCAGAUAAGUGGCAGAUGGAUAGACGGAUGGAUGGAUAGAAAUAAUAAAGGUCAAGGACUACCGAUCUUUUGAAAUGAAUAUGCCUCUCUUGAUUCCAUUUAAAAACAAAAUCUCCUUUAAAAAUGAAUAAGAAUGACAUCAGUGACCUUUGGCCCUUGUGAACAAAUAUUAUCAGCUCAUCAGUGGACGAUGUGUGGGAAUAUGAGUAAAAAUCCUGUGAUGGUUUACUGUAGGGGAGAAGAAAGCAUUUCAGAGGGGGUCUAAUUGUUGAGAGUCUGUUGGUUGUUGAACAUGGAUUGCCAGAAACUUCAUCUAAGCUGUUUUCUCCUUCCCCAGUGGUGUUUUUGUAUCAUUACUUUCUGCUGUGAUCAGACACUUUUGAUCGAGAAGAAAGGCUUUAGCUUAGCUGGAAAUGAUGGUUUGGCCUGAAUAAGUGUAAUCACACCACUCCGUGUUGUAAGGGCCUGAUUAAAAUGCAGCAAAGCACAUGCGGUUCGUUGACCUCUUUUCUGACAGCAUAUGACUCAAUUAUGGCGAGGUACGCUAGCACAUGCUAGUGCUGCGGCAGCCAGUGACUUGUUGGAUGCGUCUUAUAUUCUGAUUUAUCAUGAUGAGCCUGCGUAGAUUCAUCACUGAGAAAGAAACGUGCAAAAAUGGAGGAAAUGACAUUUAAAUGUUCAUUCAAAAUGAUUCCCUUUCUGAGGCAGCUGUUAAAACUAUUAUUAUCCUUAUUAGCAUGGAUUAGUUAUAGUUAUUAUUAGUUAUUUUUAAGGCAAUGAAGCACCAGGGUGACACACUGAGAAAAAAAGAAGUUCUGACAGCGCAUUUUAGCUGUCCAGGUUUCUGGAUAUAGACACACGGAACAGCUAGAACUGGUGGGAUGCCCAGUGUGGAGUCGAUUCUGAUGAACACAGAGAGGGUGUGUGAGAGGAAGGCAGUGGCAAGGAUAAAAAUAGGCGGACAUGUUUAAAGCCACCUGCUCAGAAGCAGGCAGCCCGGCCAGUGCAGGGAGACCAUACAAACCAGCAACAAUCCUCAGCACCCCCUGCUUCAUCCCAGUCACAUACACUAGGGUGAGAGUGCUCUGUCGAGAUGGGCAGUGUUGGUCAACUCAUUAGGUGCCAUCUUCUGACUGGGCACCGACUCAGGAAGCCGAUUUCUUGUCUUGGAGGGGGGGUGGCAGCAGUGAAGCUGCCCUAGAGGCGCCACAUGGGCUUCGAGUGAUACUGAAUAUGCGUUGCCAUGGUAUCACUUAUAAAACUCCCCCCCCACCCCUGGAAAUCAGAGGCAGCAGGAAUUCAGAGAAGUAAUUAGGGGUGUCCAUCAGUAGGGGUCAUUUUAUCAGUCCAUGCUUCCUCAGAUUAAUUUUGCUUUGCCUCCCCCACCAACUCCACCACCUUUAUUUUUAAUGUGGUAUUUUUUUUAACACCUGGAAUUUCUUGCAAGCCUGCUGGCAUAUUUCUCGGGCUGGACAGCCAUGAGUGGGCAGUGCUGUGUGGUCUGGUAUCACGGCUUAAAACUCUUUUGCAAAGUGACACAUGGUAGCAGAUGCCAUUUCAAGACCCUGCUUUAUGCCUCUGUCUAGGUUGUAACAUCCUGAAUAAUCUCUCUCUUUUGUUUUUCUGCUUCAAAUCAGUCUUCCAGGACCCUCCAGGCCUCCUGGGUAUUUCCCAGGGGCUCCAGUGCCUGUCUGAGAUCUGAAAUGACUAUAGCAAUUUUACAGAUUUUUGGUUGUUUCAUCCAUGCAUGCCUCCUGCUGCCUGCCACAAAUGGGUUCCAAGGUCUUUCAGCCAGACUGUGAAGCCGAUGGCCUUUGUUGGAAUCCUUUCACAAUGAUGAGCGCAGGCGUGGAUACAGCCAAAAUGUAACUCUUGUGCAAACUUAGGAUGCUGUCUCUCAUUCCACAGUGAUGAAGUCUCAGUCAGUGUUAUUUCUUAAACUAUCGUUUAUUAUUGAUUUAGAAUAUGCAGAGUGCUUUUGUUCUGUCUAGCAACUAGGUGUAUGUGGAGGAAAUUAGUAAAUAAUAAUCUAUUUAUAGAACCAGGUUUGUUUUGCUAUAUUCAGUACUGGUCCAAUAAUACUGUAAAUUAUGUCACAUGAAUCGGUGGCAUAUUUUUUUUUAUUGCUGGUUUAUUUACCUCAACAUAAGUAUCUAUGUAAUGGCGUCUUGUUUUAAUGUUGUUUAACACAGGGAGGCAUGUUUGCUCAGCGUGGGUUACUGUUGUGUCACAUCUGUAGCAUCAGGGGUUGUGAUGGCUACAGCCACACAUUACUUCGGUUGUGGGGGAUGGUCUUUUCUUAGUCUCUAUAAAGGUGUGGCUGAGGACAACCCCUGGAGCAGGAGUGAACCAUGUGCUGCCAUGGCAAGAGGGGGGAGUUGGGGUUUAGUUGUGUUUUGCUCUGUUUAAUUAUAUGUAGUGUUUAUUUGGUUUACCCCUUUUGUGUGUUAAUUGGUUUGGCCAAACCACUAUAUAUGUUCCUUCAUGUCUCCUUAUUGAAAGGUCAGUUUGUUUCAGUUAAUACUUUGCUUUGUAAUGUUAAGUUUUGUUCAUUUCUGUUGACCUCUUUCAUGGGCCCAGUUAUUAAGAUCUUGAGCUUGUUACUGUUUGUAUUUUGGGGGUCAAUAAAGCUUUAUUUCUUUGGUUAA